GGUGCUGGUAAUAUAAUUAAAAUAUCAUCAAAAAGUUGAUUUAUUUCAGUAAUUCCAUUCAAAAAGUGAAACUUGUAUAUUAUAUUCAUUCAUUACACACAGACUGAUAUAUUUCAAAUGUUUAUUUCUUUUAAUUUUGAUUAUUAUAACUGACAACUAAGGAAAAUCCCAAAUUCAGUAUCUCAGAAAAUUAGAAUAUUACUUAAAACCAAUACAAAGAAAGGAUUUUUAGAAAUCUUGGCCAAAUGAAAAGUAUGAACAUGAAAAUUAUGAGCAUGUAAAGCACUCAGUACUUAGUUGGGGCUCCUUUUGCCUGCAUUUUUGCAGCAAUGCGGCGUGGCAUGGAGUCGGUCUGUCUGUGGCAAUGCUCAGUUGUUAUGAGAGCCCAGGUUGCUCUGUAGUGAUGGGUCGUUCGCGAAAGCCGACUCUAAGAGCCGGCUCUUGUAGGUGAACGACGGGAGCUGGCUCGCAUAUCUGAAGAGCCGACUCCAUUUAAAAAAAUAUAUAUAUAUUGCCUAUAGAAAUUAAAUCAUUAUGUAAUAAUGAAAUAAUGGAUGCAUUUUAUUUUAUUUAAAAUAAUUGACUAAUUCAAAGAACAAAAAAUAUAUAUUUCAACUGUCUGAUCAGCCUCACAUUCUGUUCCUGUCAAUCAUACACGAGGUUUCAACCAAUUAUACGGCAUGAGGGAGGGGCCGAGUCAUCACACACACACACACACACACACACACACACCACACACAGUGUCAAACUCAGAGGAGAGGAGAGGAAAAACACAACAGCUUUUGAAAACAAAACAAAAGCAGGAAAAUGAGUCGGAAGCACAGCCGAAUUUGGAAUCAUUGUAAUGAUCAUCAGCCCCUCGAAAGUAAGGCAGCUUGCAUUUCUGAAUGCAUAUUUCUCAUAAAAUAAAAAUAUGAUCAGCAUUGUGUGUGUAUGUGUUCAUGCUAGUUAUACAAAACUGAGAUAGUCUAUGCUGACUAUAUAACACGCCAAAAAAGAGGGACCAGUUUAAUCCUUUCAGUUAUUUAUUUUUCUUUAAUAUGGAUUCUAUUAUGUUUUUCAGAUUCAGAUUGUAUUUGUUUUGUAAUGUUGUUUCUAUACAUUCAAAAGUUGUAAUUUAAAUGCAAAUGUUUAAUAGUAUUCUUUUUUCAUAACAAAUCAAUGCAUUUUUAAAGAAAUUGUGAGUAUGAUUUAAUUUAAUAAUUUAAUUAGAGUAGUUUUCACACCAAUCAUAGUCAAAACAUUAUUGUUUUUUAAAGAGCCGUUUGUGAGCCAAAAGAGCCGGCUCUUUUCAGUGAGCUGAGUCAAACGAGCCGGCUCACGAAAAAGACCCGAAAUGCCCAUCACUAUUGCUCUGAUAGUGGCCUUCAGCUCUUCUGCAUUCAACCAGGGGCGGGUCUACGUGGUGGCGGUGCCCCCCCUGAAAUUCGAUUGGCCACCCCAGGUGCCCCCCCUAUAAGAUGUCUUGUGAUUGGUUCAUUCUAUGGCCAAUCAUUUUAUAGAAUCUACUGAAGUUAGCGAUUCAAAGAAGUGCAGCGUCGACAGAAGGUGCGUUCCGUUCGACCGUAAGUGUACUGCGAAGUGGACUUCACAGGGUAUUCCGCCAUCUUAAGUGAGAUUCCAAUCGGAAGGGAGCGAACAUGUUCAGUUCGAAGGGCACUACGCACGGCACAGGGAAUAAGGGAACAUCGAUACAUCACUUCACAGGAAGUGGAGAGCGAUUAUCCCCCAACUGUCAUUGCGCGAAGCACGUCAUUACCAGUCAGAACGGCCGUCUUCGCUGACUUCAUUCAUAUUCAUUACGGAUUGUAAAAAGGGCGUACCAAAUGAGCAGUUAUUGCCAGUGAAGUCCACUUCAACUGAUAUACCGUGCUCAGGGAGUAGGGAGCAGUGAACACUGCGUAGGGACCCUGUCGAAUGGAACGCACCUAGAGACACUAAUGAUGGGAAGUUUGGAUCAUUAUACUGACCCUGACUUUUGAGUCACGUUCAGCAAAAUGAACGAAUCUUUUUUUGAGUAAUUUCGUUCAUUUUAGCAAAAUGUAAUUAAAAUGUUACGUGUUUCUUCCCCAACACAUCUAGUAACGUUACUUAAGCAAACGUUGAUCACACUACAAACAAUACAAAACUAAAAUGCUAUAAAGAUACAGAAAAGAUUAAUUAAUUAUUUACCUGGGUCUUCAGUCUGUGAUUAACUCACCUCUUGUCUGACAAGUCUUCAGCUUCAAAUCAUUCCUUAAUCACAUGACAGAUCCAUGCGCUAUUUCUGACAUUUCUGACAUUUGUCACUGUUUUUGUUACUGUUUCUUCUGGAUCUGUGGUGUUAUUAUUUUAUGAAUAAAUAAAACCUUGUUAUAAAUAAAAUAUUGAUUAAUUUGUC